rnacentral:rRNA from 1 species
GCGAAUUCGCCCUUGGGGUGCACCAGGCGCGAAAACUUUACAAUGCUGGCAACAGCGAUAAGGGGACCUCGAGUGCCAGGAUACAAUCUUGGCUGUCGUGAUGCCUAAAAAGCAUUACAUAGCAAGGGCCGGGCAAGACCGGUGCCAGCCGCCGCGGUAACACCGGCGGCUCGAGUGGUAACCGCUAUUAUUGGGUCUAAAGGGUCUGUAGCCGGCCGGAUAAGUCUCUUGGGAAAUCCAGCAGCUCAACUGUUGGGCUCCCAGGGGAUACUGUUCGGCUCGAGGCCGGGAGAGGUGAGAGGUACUUCAGGGGUAGGGGUGAAAUCUUGUAAUCCUUGAAGGACCACCAGUGGCGAAGGCGUCUCACCAGAACGGUCCUGACGGCAAGGGACGAAAGCUAGGGGCACGAACCGGAUUAGAUACCCGGGUAGUCCUAGCCGUAAACGAUACUCGCUAGGUGUCAGCCACGGUGCGACCGUGGUUGGUGCCGUAGGGAAGCCGUGAAGCGAGCCACCUGGGAAGUACGGCCGCAAGGCUGAAACUUAAAGGAAUUGGCGGGGGAGCAC